rnacentral:rRNA from 1 species
UACGUAGGUGUCAAGCGUUGUCCGGAUUUAUUGGGCGUAAAGCGCCCGCAGGCGGCUUGCCAAGUUCGAUGUGAAAUCUCCCGGCUCAACUGGGAGGGUGCAUCGAAAACUGGCAGGCUUGAGGCAGGGAGAGGGAUGUGGAAUUCCAGGUGUAGUGGUGAAAUGCGUAGAUAUCAGGAGGAACACCGGUGGCGAAGGCGGCUACCUGGACAGAAACUGACGCUGAGGCGCGAAAGCUAGGGGAGCAAACAGG